rnacentral:rRNA from 1 species
AGUGAACGCUGGCGGUAGGCCUAACACAUGCAAGUCGAACGGCAGCACAGUAAGAGCUUGCUCUUACGGGUGGCGAGUGGCGGACGGGUGAGGAAUACAUCGGAAUCUACUUUUUCGUGGGGGAUAACGUAGGGAAACUUACGCUAAUACCGCAUACGACCUACGGGUGAAAGCAGGGGAUCUUCGGACCUUGCGCGAUUGAAUGCGCCGAUGUCGGAUUAGCUGGUUGGCGGGGUAAAGGCCCACCAAGGCGACGAUCCGUAGCUGGUCUGAGAGGAUGAUCAGCCACACUGGAACUGAGACACGGUCCAGACUCCUACGGGAGGCAGCAGUGGGGAAUAUUGGACAAUGGGCGCAAGCCUGAUCCAGCCAUACCGCGUGGGUGAAGAAGGCCUUCGGGUUGUAAAGCCCUUUUGUUGGGAAAGAAAAGCAGCAGGUUAAUACCCCGCUGUUCUGACGGUACCCAAAGAAUAAGCACCGGCUAACUUCGUG